CCUACGGGAGGCAGCAGUCGGGAAUUUUGGGCAAUGGGCGCAAGCCUGACCCAGCAACGCCGCGUGAAGGAUGAAGUUUUUCGGAAUGUAAACUUCGUAAAAAUAGGAAGAAUAAAUGACGGUACUAUUUGUAAGGUCCGGCUAACUACGUGCCAGCAGCCGCGGUAAUACGUAGGGACCAAGCGUUGUUCGGAUUUACUGGGCGUAAAGGGCGCGUAGGCGGCGUAACAAGUCACUUGUGAAAUCUCCGGGCUUAACUCGGAACGGUCAAGUGAUACUGUUGUGCUAGAGUACAGAAGGGGCAAUCGGAAUUCUUGGUGUAGCGGUGAAAUGCGUAGAUAUCAAGAGGAACACCAGAGGCGAAGGCGGAUUGCUAGGCUGAUACUGACGCUGAGGCGCGAAAGCUAGGGUGGCAAACGGGAUUAGAUACCCCGGUAGUCCUAGCCCUAAACGAUGAAUACUUGGUGUCUGGAGUUUAAUUCUCUGGGUGCCGUCGCUAACGUUUUAAGUAUUCCGCCUGGGGAGUACGCACGCAAGUGUGAAACUCAAAGGAAUUGACGG
rnacentral:rRNA from 1 species